rnacentral:rRNA from 1 species
UUGAACGCUGGCGGCAUGCCUUACACAUGCAAGUCGAACGGUAGAGGGGCAACCCUUGAGAGUGGCGAACGGGUGAGUAAUGCAUCGGAACGUGCCCAGUCGUGGGGGAUAACGCAGCGAAAGCUGUGCUAAUACCGCAUGUGAUCUGUGGAUGAAAGCAGGGGACCGCAAGGCCUUGUGCGAUUGGAGCGGCCGAUGUCAGAUUAGCUAGUUGGUAGGGUAAAAGCCUACCAAGGCG